AACUCUGUGGCUGAGUGGUUAAGCGCUUGGCUUUGAACCUGUAGGUCCUGGGUUUGAAUCUCGGUGAAGAUU
rnacentral:tRNA from 1 species